GACUUCCGGGUUCCUGGGCUCCUUAUGCUUUCAGUUUGUGAGAUGGCGGGAACUGCAGCUCCGGGAUUCUCCACCCGUGCUUACUCUGAAGGUGCCUGGGAGAAACUUCCAGAACUUCCCGUAAAAGGCGGACGUGAGGGCUGGAACGAUGGCUCAGCAGUUAAGAACACUGGGGACCCAGGUCUUAGGAGUUGGGAAAAGCCUCCUUUACACCAAGUUUUCAACUUAAAGCUCAAAGGAUGAGUCGGGAAAAGCCUCAAGACUGCCCGGCAACCUCGAGGUUCAGUUUUUUUCCUUAGUAUCUCCUGCCAUGAAGUGAAAAGAUUGGAAGGCAUUCUAUCUGAUAUAGUGCCUCAACACCAGCAUCAAGCAAAGGUGGUGGUGGAAAGGGAAACAGCUGCCCGCUUCCCUCCCCCUCCACCCCACCGCCCCCACCACCCUGGUAGAGGACUGUCCGUUCUCCUGAGCAAUAUCAGCCAUUUUCCCUUGACCUCCGACUUGAUGCUGAAUGAAGCCAUUAGAGGCCGUGGGGACUGACCAGGAUCAGCGAGGGCCGGAUGUGUCUGCUCUAGGGAUUUUGUUGUUCAGAAGUUCUGCGGGGUCUCCCUGAGUUGAGGGUACACUGGCACUUGCAACCCUGGGGCUUCUGCUGUGGCAAUCCCUCGGUGUCCUGACAUACCUCACUGAUGCUUGCACCUUGCCCAGGGUGUUAUAAAUGUUCUUCUAUUUAUUUAUCUUCAGACUCCCUCAUGGAUCUGCCCUUGUUUCCUGACAGGACCUCAGCUGACCAAAUUCCCAGCCAUUCUGAUAAUUUCUUUAAGUUUGUGAACCCCAACAUUGUCCACCAGAACCUGUGUAGACUGUGUUUUCUAGUACAUGUGUUCUCGGAUACCUGUCACUGAUGUGCACUGUUGCCAAUCUAUGACAAAAUGAUCACUGUGGAAUGAUUAGCAGAUGCCCUGAAGGGCACUGUGAAGUCUUUCCAUAGAUGUAACUAAUCAAAGGGCAACAAAGUAUUCCUUCCUAGCCUGGGCGUGGUGGGGAUGCUGACACAUAGAUGGAUGGUGGUGAGCUUAGAACUAGGACUGGUUGUGGACAGCUGACAUGAAACGUCCAUCCAAUUUUGGAACAAAGGAAGUCCUAUCUGGGAUAAAACAAUCUGGGGAUUGAUUGACGCUAGAAAGGAUAUGAUCUCAGUGAGAAAGUACAGGUGAGAUGUGGAGAGGUCUUGAAAGGGUCACACUCGGUUAUUGCAAGUCUUUUUUUUUCUCUUUAAGAUCUCUCUCUCUCUCUCUCUCUCUCUCUCUCUCUCUCUCUCUCUCUGUGAGUUUGAGUUUAUGCUCACAUUUACGUGCAGGUAUGUGGACAUCUGGGGGCAGAGGCCAGAAGAAGGCCUCAGAUCCUGGAGUUCCAAGGAUUUGCAGGAGGCCAGGCCUGUCACCUGUGUGCUGGGAACUGAACUCUGGCCUCACGAUUGUGCACCAAGUUCUCUUAGUCGCUGAACCAGCUCAGCUCCUCUGGGCUUGAAAAAUCUUUAUAACAACAAUCAAUAGAUAUUUGUAGAGAGGUUUUCUCUCUCUUUCUCUUUAUUUUUUUUCAAUUGAAGUCUCAUACCUUUAAAAUCAAUGUAGCAUUGGUUUUGAUUGAUGCUAAGUUGGUAAAUAAGAAAACGUUCAUAGAAUAUUGACUGGAAAAAAAUCUUAUGAACUUGUUUCUACUUUGUUUUAUUUUGGUUUUUUUUUUGUUGUUGGUAUUAGAGAUCAAACCCAGGUUCUUAUGCACUCUAGGCACAAAACUCUGUACCACAAAACUAUAUGUAACUUUAUAUAAGUGAAUAAUAAAUCAUAAAAGGUUUUCAUGUUUGCUAAGCUUUUGUAUGUUAAAUUUUUUGAGACUUUCAUAUGUGAAUACUGUGUUUGCUUAGUUU